CACGUAGGCGGCCUGUUAAGUCGGGUGUGAAAGCCCUGGGCUCAACCCAGGAAGUGCACUCGAAACUGGCAGGCUUGAAUAUGGAAGAGGGUCGCGGAAUUCCCGGUGUAGAGGUGAAAUUCGUAGAUAUCGGGAGGAACACCAGUGGCGAAGGCGGCGACCUGGGCCAAUAUUGACGCUGAGGUGCGAAAGCGUGGGGAGCAAACA
rnacentral:rRNA from 1 species